rnacentral:rRNA from 1 species
CUACGGGAUGCAGCAGUGAGGAAUAUUGCACAAUGGGGGGAACCCUGAUGCAGCAACGCCGCGUGGAGGAUGACGCAUUUCGGUGUGUAAACUCCUUUUAUAUGUCAAGAAAAUGACGGUAGCAUAUGAAUAGGCACCGGCUAACUCCGUGCCAGCAGCCGCGGUAAUACGGAGGGUGCAAGCGUUACUCGGAAUCACUGGGCGUAAAGGACGCGUAGGCGGGUUGGAAAGUCAGGUGUGAAAUCCUACAGCCUAACUGUAGAACUGCACUUGAAACUUCUAAUCUAGAGUAUGGGAGGGGGAGAUGGAAUUAGUGGUGUAGGGGUAAAAUCCGUAGAUAUCACUAGGAAUACCUAAAGCGAAGGCGAUCUCCUGGAACAUUACUGACGCUAAGGCGUGAAAGCGUGGGGAGCAAACAGGAUUAGAUACCCGCGUAGUC